GUCUCGCCAUUCCCCCACGUCGCGCCGGUGGUCCCCGCGGGUGGAGAUCUCGUGGUCGUCUUGUUGCCUUGUGGUCGCCUGCCCACACGCACAUGGGUGGGCGUAGGCAGCUGCAGCUGCAGCUACACCACCUCUCUCUCUCUCUCUCUACUGCUGUGCUCUGAUCGAUAACGUUGAACGCUUCUACGAUGCAUCAGGCAGCCAGGGAAGGAGUGCAGCGGAAAUAAAUGAGGCCAAUAACUGCUCGCUCUACCGCGUCUUGAAUGGCGAAAAGGAGAGCUGAUGGAUGGAUAAGCCGCCCAUCGCAUUUCCAUUCCUCUGAAAGCUCAGUGAGCGAGUAGGUGGGCUUUGGCUGCCGCUGCGGCAGCGAGCGAGCGAGCGAACGAGAGAGAGAGAGAGAGAGAGAGAGAGGGGGGAGGUGGGAGACAUACGUGAAAGCCGGGGGAAGUACGUCUCCUUCAGUCCGGAGUUCCCAAACUGCCCCUCGAUCUCGAGUCAUGUCUUAAGAAGGUCGAGGGCUUUAUAGUCAUUUCGAGAGUUGAACUGUAACAGGGUCGGGCGUGUUGUGCUGGGUUUUGUAUGUAUAUAAAGUAGGAAGAGAAAGUGGAGGAGAGAUGAGAGCGAGUUGUUGUCUUCCUCAGACACUCUUUUCUUUCUGGGCGGAAGGAGAGGACGAGGCAAAGGCAUUAUUAUUAAAGCGCCGGCAUGAGAGGAGGGUGAAGGUGAAGGAGAAGGAAGAAAGUGGCCGGAAGAAAGCUAAGCUAAGCAAAGCAGCAGUGCUUCGUUAGAGGAUUCGUUGGUCUGCCAACUGAGGAGGAAGGAAAGAGAUGGAAAUGGUGCAAGUGGCCGCCAGGGCAGCCAUCGUGCGGUGGACGGGUGAGGGGAGGUCUCACGACAGUGCAGAUGAAGACGAAGGUGAGGAUGCCCGAAGUGCGGGCAAUGCUCCCCUGUUUUGAGGUUCGUGAGUUCGUUCAUGGGUUCUGUGAUAUUGGCAUAAGCGGCUCAAUCACUCUUCUUUCUUCUUCUUCUUCUUCUUCUUCUUUGUUUCUUUUGGCUACUCUUGCUCACAUUACCAACAUUUGGUUCUGUAAUCGCCUCUUGUUUCCGUUGCCAAAUCCUGUAACAUUGUCUUCUCCUUUGCUGCUGCUGCUGCUGCUGUUACUGGUGGUGGUGGUGGUGGUGGUGGAAUGAAGGGGAUGGGACAGUGGAUGGUUGGCCUGGGUUGUCUCGCUUGGCAGCAUCAUGGUCAUCAUGCCACCCCCUCCUUUCCCACAUCUUCUCCCCUUUUGUAUUGUGGGAUGUUUUGUUUGGUUUCUUUCUCUUUGUCCCUUGUUGAUUGGAUGCUCUGGUUGGCUAACAUUAGCAAAAAUAUUUUAGACCCA